CUCGAAGUUUCUUUCGCGGGUGGAUUCAGUCGGGACUCGUCGAGCCUCGUCUUUAUAGUCGACUUAGUAAUAGGGAGACUUUAUGGACGGGGGGUGACUCGGAGUGUUCCCGACGCAUUUCCAACCCUCGAUAACGACGCCGCAGCCGGUUGGGUAGCUGCGCGUGUCGGCCAUGAGGACGGGCGCUGGCAGUAGACCGAUCUUCGUCAGAAUAUUGGCGUCGGGCGGUUGUUUAGCCAGCCCGUCCGUGGCGCGACACCCGACCGAGGAAAGAGAGUUCUAAAUCAUUAGAGCUUCGCCGUCUCCUAUCGCCUAUUACGGCGAGCGGGCCGGGUGCCUUGCGAUGUGUCGCGCAUCAUUCCGCUUACGUCCUCGCACUGGGUGGAGCGCGGCAUUCGCCUUGGGUUAUCCGGUUACGACCGCGUAGGAGUUGAAGGCUAGCGGCGAGUAGGUCGGUCACCCACCCGACCCGUCUUGAAACACGGACCAAGGAGUCUAACAUGUGCGCGAGUCAAGGGGUCUUGAAUAGGCCUAGAGACGUAAUGAAAGUGAUGAGUGUCUCUUAAUUAAGAGAGACGCAAGUGUUGGGAUUUCCCUAAGGUUCCUGGGGAAAGCACCAACGACCCGCCCAUUCGCUUUGAAAUCCAAAGCGCAGACGGAGUUUGAGCGCACACGUUGGGACCCGAAAGAUGGUGAACUAUGCCUGGGCAGGACGAAGCCAGAGGAAACUCUGGUGGAGGUCCGCAGCGGUU
rnacentral:rRNA from 1 species